rnacentral:rRNA from 1 species
UACGAAGGGGGCUAGCGUUGCUCGGAAUCACUGGGCGUAAAGGGUGCGUAGGCGGGUCUUUAAGUCAGGGGUGAAAUCCUGGAGCUCAACUCCAGAACUGCCUUUGAUACUGAGGAUCUUGAGUACGGGAGAGGUGAGUGGAACUGCGAGUGUAGAGGUGAAAUUCGUAGAUAUUCGCAAGAACACCAGUGGCGAAGGCGGCUCACUGGCCCGUGACUGACGCUGAGGCACGAAAGCGUGGGGAGCAAACAGG